rnacentral:lncRNA from 1 species
CUGACAUUGCUUAUGCUGGAUGGAGCAUGUCUUAGUUUUGAGUGUCUCCAGAGGAGCCUGAGCUGGUGCCUGCAAGUCCAAGUGGGUGAGACUCAGAGGCUGACAGAACACAGCUCUGUCCUCUUGUGGUUCCCAGGGAGUCCCACACCCUCCUCCUGGAAAUCAGAUGCCCAGAAAACUGACUGGAGGAGCCACUGGCAACCAAAUGAGGCAAUGACAUUUUUAAGCAAUUGUCCAGUGGGUUAGGAAAGGUGCACAGCCGUGAGGAGCACGAGGCCAUGGGACUCAGUGACUUGGUCCGAGUAAGGCAAGGCCUGGACUGCAACUCAGGACCUGCUACGAGAGUGGAUUGGUGACCCAGCCCUGCAUUUCCCCUUGCAAGUCUGACUUGAGAACUAAAAAUAAAAUCCUAAGCACCCCAACCAUGGAAAAGACCCCCAUCUUGGCCAAGGGGACCCCAGGAAAACCUUAAAAUUGAGUUCCCAGCCAUGGCAUGCUUCUUUAUACCCCCUCCCUUUUGUGGUUUAGACACAACAACUGAUCAGCAUUAGUGUUAAAAUAGAGAUAAUAAGGUUGGUGGAUGGGCCAGGCACGGUAGCUCAUGCCUGUAAUCCCAGCACUUCGGGAGGCUGAUGGGGGCAGAUCACCUGAGGACAGGAGUUCAAGACCAGCCUGACCAACAGGGUGAAAUCCCAUCUCUACUAAAAAUACAAAUAUUAGCUAGGCAUGGUGGUGGGUGCCUGUAAUCCCAGCUAUUCAGGAGGCUGAGGCAAGAGAAUCGCUUGAACCCGGGAGGUGGAGGUUGCAGUGCGCUGAGAUCAUGCCACUGCACUCCAGCCUGGGUGAUCCAGUGAGACUCCACCUCAAAAGAAAAAAAAAGAAAUACUAGUGGAUGGAUUCUUUGUGUCAAGAUAUCAAAUUGUACACAGAAUCCAAGAUCAUGACAGGCAAAGCCUGUCACACACCCUACACUUAAAAAAUAAACUGUUCUAACUGCCUCGAGAUUUUUUCACUUUUUCUCUAGCAGCUAAAGGCACAGUGGCCUUGAGAUAAACAUUAAACCAGGGGCAGGUCACCCCCUGCCAGACACUGACUCUCUGACCCCCUGCUCCACCAGACCAUGGCUGUGAUUGGACAAGAGACUCAUUUCAGUAAGGUUCUCCUAGUAACAGCCCACUGACCAGGGACUGGUUCUGGUGGUUACAGAGGCUACCUGUGGAGUUGCCUUCCCGUCCCUCCUUCACCUUUGGAUGUACAGGGCCUAAUUGUAAUGCAUUUCGAUGUCUCCAUCCCACAGUGAACGUGCGUUGCAUGUCACAAGCAUGUUUGUUCAGUGCUAUUCAUCAGGACCCCGUUGGUGAAUGCUCAUGGCUCUUCCUGCAGCCGGUUGAAUGUGUGUGUUCAGCCAAUCUCUUCAGCAUGAAGCAUAUGCCCCACCCCACCUGCUCCUUUGAAGUGCCUGCUUUUGAGUCUCUGAUGGAGGCUACAUUUCCCAGCCUGUCAGGAUGGCUACCUUGCAGCCUGUAAACCUUUAUAAGAAAUAAAGUCUCCUUUCUAACUUUAUAC